AUUGAACGCUGGCGGCAGGCCUAACACAUGCAAGUCGAGCGAGCGGCGGACGGGUGAGUAAUGUCUGGGAAACUGCCUGAUGGAGGGGGAUAACUACUGGAAACGGUAGCUAAUACCGCAUACCAUCAGAUGUGCCCAGAUGGGAUUAGCUAGUAGGGGGGGUAACGGCUCACCUAGGCGACGAUCCCUAGCUGGUCUGAGAGGAUGACCAUCCACCCGUGAACUGAGAACAGGUCCAGACCCCUACGGGAGGCAGCAGUGGGGAAUAUUGGACAAUGGGCGCAAGCCUGAUGCAGCCAUGCCGCGUUUAUGAAGAAGGCCUUCGGGUUGUAAAGUACUUUCAGCGGGGAGGCGUUACCCGCAGAAGAAGCACCGGCUAACUCCGUGCCAGCAGCCGCGGUAAUUC
rnacentral:rRNA from 1 species